UGGGCAGCGUGGACCAGCUGGACCACGCCAAACUGUCCUACCUGUGGACCAGUCGGUACACAAAGACAGGUUACGAGGAACAGGGUGUGCAACAAACAACUUUCAACGGAUCUCGACUGUCCAGGGUCAAACACUGACUCCAGAUUCGAUACCUGUUCAAUUCCCGUAUGUACAGCUACCUGGAACACCUGGGGUCAGUGGAAUAACCCUUGUCCUUCAUGUGGUCUGAGCAUCUCACGGACUUUCUCCCGAAGCAGAACAUGUAACCAGGUGGCUGGUCAAGCAUUUUGUACUGGUUCCAGCACUUCCACUGAAGUCCGAACUUGCAGCAUUCCCAAUUGCAUAGGAACUUGGGCAGCGUGGACCAGCUGGACCACGCCAAACUGUCCUACCUGUGGACCAGUUGGUACACAAAGACAGGUUACGAGGAACAGGGUGUGCAACAAACAACUUUCAACGGAUCUCGACUGUCCAGGGUCAAACACUGACUCCAGAUUAGAUACCUGUUCAAUUCCCGUAUGUAC